rnacentral:rRNA from 1 species
GAUGAACGCUGGCGGUAUGCUUAACACAUGCAAGUCGAACGGACUCUUCGGAGUUAGUGGCGGACGGGUGAGUAACGCGUGAGAAUCUGGCUUUGGGUUCGGGACAACCACUGGAAACGGUGGCUAAUACCGGAUGUGCCGAGAGGUAAAAGAGAAAUUGCCUGAAGAUGAGCUCGCGUCUGAUUAGCUAGUUGGUGAGGUAAAGGCUCACCAAGGCAGCGAGCAGUAGCUGGUCUGAGAGGAUGACCAGCCACACUGGGAAUGAGACACGGCCCAGACUCCUACGGGAGGCAGCAGUGGGGAAUGAUCCGCAAAGGGCGAAAGCCUGACGGAGCAAUACCGCGUGAGGGAAGCAGGCUCUUGGGUUGUAAACCUCUUUUCUUAGGGAAGAACAAAAUGACGGUACCUAAGGAAUCAGCAUCGGCUAACUCCGUG